rnacentral:rRNA from 1 species
UUGUCGAAUCCUGCAAAGCAGACGACCGCGAACUUGUGUAAUUGCCGGGCGUCGGGGAACGGGGGAGACUAAACCCUCCCCUAACUCCCCGGCGCUCCCCGCGCACCGCGCGGACAACAACUCAACCCCGGCGCGGAAAGCGCCAAGGAAAACUCAAAAGGAUUGCCCGCCUCCCCGUGCGCGGGGCGUGUUGUGGCGUCUGUCGUAACCAAAACGACUCUCGGCAACGGAUAUCUCGGCUCUCGCAUCGAUGAAGAACGUAGCGAAAUGCGAUACUUGGUGUGAAUUGCAGAAUCCCGUGAACCAUCGAGUCUUUGAACGCAAGUUGCGCCCGAAGCCAUUAGGCCGAGGGCACGCCUGCCUGGGCGUCACGCAUCGCGUCGCCACCCCCCUUUUGCGGGGCGGCGGAUACUGGCCUCCCGUCCCAAGAAGGCGCGGCUGGCCUAAAUUCGAGUCCUCGACGGGGGACGUCACGACAAGUGGUGGUUGAAUGCCUCAACUCGAUUCCUGUCGUGUUCAUUGGCCUCGUCGUUUCUCGGGCUCCUUGACCCUUCUUGCUUGCAUCUCGAUGCGAGCCUCGACCGCGACCCCA